rnacentral:pre_miRNA from 1 species
AUCGUCUGGGAAGCUUGUUAAAAUGCAGAUGCUGGCUCAACAGGUCUGGGUUGGAACCCGAGAUUCUGCAUUUCUAACAAGCUUCCAGGUGAUGCCAG